rnacentral:lncRNA from 1 species
UAGCAUUAAAUGCCUAUGAUUGAUUGAUGCUUUUGACGAGAAGCUUUAGCCGUAUGGAUGAGGCCAUGUACACUUUAAUCCCAUGGCCGACAUCCAUCAUAUUUUGCUAUAAAAGCUCACACAAUGUGUCAUUCCAAAGGUGAUGCAAGUUUAAACUCUCAAACACAAUUUGCUAUAUUUAUUGUUAUUAUCACAAUUUUUUCCAAAAUUGACCCCCUUUUUAUAUUAGAGACUCGUGUCUAAAGCACCUUCUAUACCCAUAUACACUACUUCAAUUGCUUGGCCGUUGGAGUGCGCAUGGCCAACUUCACUACCCAGGGAGAAGGCAACAUAUGAUUAGUGGUUUGUCGAAGUGUGCAGAAAUCAGACUUACAUAGACAUGGGAAGCCUUGAUAUCUGUUGACUAUGUUGGAGGUAGAAAAUUUGAGGUCAAAGAUUGACAUCGUUUGUGGGAAACACACUAGUGUGUCAAACUCCACCCUUGAAGAAAGGUAUCUGUUCUUGAAGAAAGGACAAGUGACGGUGCUAUUUGAAGUGUUGAUACACAAAUCGUUAGUAUACCAUGAAGAAGAAGUCCUUUGAACCAAUGAAAAUAUUUGUAGACCCCACCACCAACACCGUUAAGGAGGUGGCAUUACUGCAUGCCUUGCAAGAAAUCUUGAAGAAAUGGCUGCCAACAUGAGAAAUAUUGCCUAACAAAAUACUGACGUGCAAUAAUUACUUAAGCUAAUGUAGGGACAGGCUAGCAUCAAAUGCCUCAGCAAAAUGUUUUUCAACAAGAUGAGGAGGGACAUAGCCAGAGGGCUUACCCUCUAAGGGGCAGAAAAUGUCUCUCCAAAAUACGCAUAGGAGCAUGGAUCCAUAUAAUGCACGUUUGGUAUUCAAUAGUACUAGACUCUAUCGUUAACAAGAUUUUACUUCUUUUUUCGGUCAAUACUAUUGAGUACUAUUUGGCUCCCUCUGUACUUGGCCGUAGUUCCAUUGUACAAGGAGGUAAUGUAUGAUAUCAUCACUAUUUAAGUAUGGC